AUCGAUGGAUACUUUUCAAUCCCAGGAGUCCACGGGAGAGCAAUACGUCAUCAUCGAACGUGAUUGAGAACCGCGACGAGGGUGUUUACAAAUGGACAGAUGAGACACACGUGUGUUUAUCCAGUGAAGAGUGAGUGAUGAAGGAGUGCUGCCAUCAAAGGCUUUCAAGAUUUUGUGGUGGAGCAGGUAACGGCAGCAUUUGUGGGAAGAAAGGAACACCUGAAACAAAAACAUAAAACUGGUGUGAGCAGUGAGAAAGGAGAAAUCUACAGCAGUAUCCUGGAAAUGGUCCGGUGCCAUGGAUGAGACCCUCCAUCACUCCACCUGCCCUUACUGCCUCAUCUGGGCCAGAUUUUUCUGUGGCCUCUUCAUGUAGUCGAGCAGACAUAGUGAUAGCCAGAUUGUCCCGCACAUGUUCUCCCAGUCUCGCCUCAAGGUUGUGGGGUUCAGUGGUGUGUCUUCAUGGUCUUUCUCAUCCUCUGGCUCAACAACAUCCAUAUUGAGAAGAGUGAGAUUGUGAAGCACAGCACAGCAGAAGAAUUGGCACAGCUGCAUUGAGAUGGCAAUAGGAUGUGGUGUUCACCAACUGUAAAUACAUGAUUGUUAGAUCAAUAAGUUUGAAUAAAGCUCUGUUUCAUCUGUUGUUGACUUGUAUAUUUAUGUAUUUAUUAUGAUGCUUUUAUUCCU